AUUGAACGCUGGCGGCAUGCCUUACACAUGCAAGUCGAACGGUAACAGGUCUUCGGAUGCUGACGAGUGGCGAACGGGUGAGUAAUACAUCGGAACGUGCCUAGUAGUGGGGGAUAACUACUCGAAGGAGUGGCGAAUACCGCAUGAGCUCUACGGAUGAAAGCAGGGGAUCGCAAGACCUUGUGCUACUAUAGCGGCCGAUGGCAGAGUAGGUAGUUGGUGGGAUAAAAGCUUACCAAGCCGACGGUCUGUAGCUGGUCUGAGAGGACGAUCAGCCACACUGGGACUGAGACACGGCCCAGACUCCUACGGGAGGCAGCAGUGGGGAAUUUUGGACAAUGGGCGCAAGCCUGAUCCAGCAAUGCCGCGUGCAGGAUGAAGGCCUUCGGGUUGUAAACUGCUUUUGUACGGAACGAAAAGCCCCGGGUUAAUACCCUGGGGUCAUGACGGUACCGUAAGAAUAAGCACCGGCUAACUACGUGCCAGCCGCCGCGGUAA
rnacentral:rRNA from 1 species